CGGGGCACGAACCCACGUCCCCUGCGUGGGCAGGCGGACUCUCAACCACUGCGCCACCAGGGAAGCCCAAGCAUGAUAUUUUUAACCCAGCAUAGUUGGAGUCAAGAAGUGAAGUUCAGCAUGAUCUGAUGGGAUCUGUGGCCCUCUUCAUCUCCACAGCAGACCGGAGGGGGCCAGAGCAGGGCAUCUAUGAGAACAGCAUGUGUGGCCUCAGCUGCUUACCGUCCACUCUAGGGCUGGGGUGCAGUCCUUUGCUCCUUUGCUGUUGCCUAAAUGUAUGUUCCUUGUCUACACUUGAAAUCCGAGUAUGGGAAACACUCGCUGUGUCAGCGAUUAAGACAGCCCAGCGUCCAUGCUCCAAAGGGAACCUCGUGGUCCUUUUCUUCACGCUUCCUCAACAUCGUGUAGUGUGUCCUUGGAAGUGAAAGUGAAAGUGAAGUGCCAGUGUGAGUUCUUGGAACCGAACUGACAAUGGAGAAAAGAAGAAACAGCAAAGUGGGAAGGGCUGGAGUUUUGCUUUCAGAAAGAACUGGGUUAUUUUUGCCUCUACACUUGCAAGAUCAUGACUUUGGGCUCAUGACUUAACCUAUCGGAGCCUCAAUUGUGUCAGCCACAAAAUGAAGCUAUUCAUACCUACCUGGACGAAAUAUAGGAAGCAGUCCCUGCAAUGGCUGGUGCCUGGAGGAAUUAGGCCGGACCCCCUUUCUCCCAGCACCCAGCUACUCCACCAGCAAGAUCAUCCUGACUCUGACCCACAGUGUUCCCAUCUCCCAGGCCCCAUCGGGUCUUGCCUGGACCACCUCCACACGCUUGCACUGCUUCCCUGCUUCCUCUCACGCUCCCAGACCGUUUCCCCACAGCAUCCCUGGAUACGAAAAUACAGAAAUUUCUUACAAGCUUAGUCCACACCUACACUUACUUCUCCUGGAGUUUCCAUCACUAAUCAUUUAAUUGCCCAAAUCCAAGGUCGAAAGGUAGCUUCUCCAGCUGUUGGCUCCCAGAGGUUUAGAAGACUCAGCUGAAGAGCGUACUGUUCUAGAAGCAGUCAGUGCUCUCUGAACGUGGUCUGCAGUCAGUCCCUCUUCAGUCAGCCCCAGCUUUGUGGAUACGGGAUACACACACUUCAAAACAAUCACGCCUGCAUGUGGAUGGUGCAAACUCCAGACAUUUCCUCCAGUCUUAACAAAACCAAAAGACCACUCUCUCUGUCUUGAGGAAGGCGAGCUCUCCAUGGAGUAAAAACUGGUUCGCAAAUCGUGGGAUGAGUUGGAAUCCUUGAUGCCACAGCAUUGUUAUGGGAACAAUCUAGAUAUUAGGGUAUUCUCCUCUUGUCAUCCUCAGACCCACACAUCUGUCUGUCGUCUCGUGGCUAUUUAGUGAACACUUGCUGUGUCCCAGCUCUCCAUGUGUUGACCCAUUGCAUCCUGACUCCAUCCUGUGAGGUGGUGCUGCAUCUGCUGUUACUCAACUUCACAGAUUCUGGAAGUCACUGCCUGGGACCCAGGAGAGCUGGGUGUUGGGAGAACUGCCACCUGAACAGGAGGAGCCGGAGGAGGAAUGAAGCCAAGCCCAGGAUCUCAUGGCACCCGUCACUGCAGGAGCAUGUGGCGCCCAACUCUGGCCUUAUCCCUUGCUGGCCUGGAGCCCAGAUUCCUCGUCAGCAAAAUGAGGGAAACCGUAAGGCAACUUUAUCAUCUCUCUGGCUCUAGGGGUCUGUGAAGUUAAUUGGGGAGGUAGCUUAAGUGUUGAGAGCAUCUCGUGGAAGCCCUGACACUGGUCGAGGACACAGUAGGUGCCAACAUGUCAAAGAAAUGCUUUGUCAGACCUCCACUCGUGCACGAAAUUUAGUGUCUCCAUCACCGUCCUUUCAACAAAAACAUGUAACCACUCCAUCUUUAAAAUAUGAAAUUGUUAAAAAUAUUAGAGCACACUUUCUCUCUUGUGCUUUUCUUUUUUGCUGUCAUUAAAAAACAAAAUGCCUUGCAAUCCCAGUGGAAGUUAGGAGGUGUGGUCAAGAUGGGUGAGUGUCAAGAUAGAACGAGUCCCCAGAAUCCAGAAGCACGGCUAACAGAUGCCACUGUUACUCCACGAAGGAGAUUUUCUUGCCCAUGUUUUCAACCAGGCGCAAUUUCUCUGUCUCCCCACUGUUUCUCCCAGGAUGAUUCUGCUCAUGGGUCCCAGGCUGGCAGGCGUUGGGAGACCUUUGAUGUGCUCAUCCAGUAACAAGACGACAUCAAAUGGAGCUGUUACUCUGGCAGCAGCAAUUCAGAUGCUGUUUCACAUGCCCUUUGCUGAGAGGCUCGCAGUUUGAAGUCUCCAGGGCUGAUUUAAAAGCAAGUUCCUGGGGAAAGAAGUCAGAAAGUUCUCUGAAAACAGUAGUGGAAGUUAAUCUCUAAUAAAACAAAACGUUACCGUUCAUCUGGAAAGAUUUCAUAUAUCAAUGCAGGGUCAAUAAAAGAGACAAUAUGAUUAACUGAUGCUCUCUAUUUUAAUGUUGACUUUGAAAGAGUUCACAGAGAUAAAAAGGCCAAGGGCUAACUUGAAAGCUUAGAUGCUAAAGAUAGAUGCAACAAUGCAUUUACAAGGAGGAGGCACGUAAUAAACGUGUUUGUAAAAAUAGAGUGAAUGCGUGUCAAUGAAUUUUAAAUACCAGUGGAAGAAAAAAGAAAAUUAAAGAGAAAAAAAUAAAUCCAAGGCCCCAAUCCCAACACUGUGUAAAAUUUGCUGUAUUUAACAUGUGUGUGGAAUGGACUGAACACAGUUGACAGCUGCCUUUCAUGUUUUGGUUCCUAGAGCUGCCCUUGGCACUCCCCACCCCGUGCACUGCCUGAGGCCUAGGGAACCCCAGUUGCAUUUUGAACAACCCUCAAACCUUCCUCUUAUAGCCCCAGAUGCUGGCAUGCUGGAAGUGUUCCACACAUAAAAACCUGGAGAUAGGUGACCCAGACCUAGCUGGGCAUCUCAGUUCCAUGAAGUCUUGAGACAUCUAGACUCUGCCAUCCCUGAGGUGUAGCCCUCAUCCUCAUGGUCCAAAAAGGCAGUUGGAGCACCCAUCAUCACAUGUAGGUUCCAAUUAGCAGGAUAAAUGGAGAUUCAAAAAGAAAGCAGAAAAGACAGAUUUUUAAGGAACACUCCUGGAAACUGUCACAUGACACUUUUCUUCACAUUUAACUUCAAAAUAGAGGAUCUAUUCUGAGCAGUCAUUUGUCAAGAUAAAGUCCAGGGGUUCUGUUUCUAUGGAACAUCAGGAAAAGAGAAAUUAAGGGCCAAUCAUCAGUCUCUACAGAGAAGAGAAUAAGCAAUGUGAAGAAGGUGCUAGGCCUAUGGACAAAAAUAAUGAACAAUAUAAUGGGAAAAAUAAUGGAAAAGAAUUUUUUUGAGUUUGUGUACAAGAUUCCAGGAAGGACAGAGAUCCGUGAGCGGCCCCAGGACCUAUGAAGCUGACCUGUUGGAAGAUGCUUUUUGAGUCACAGAGGGAAGUUAUUAGAUAUUAAGAGGCCCAUGGACCCUGUUAGAAAUGGUCCAGAAAAAAUAUGAGUGUAGGAAAAAACUUUUAUCAUAGUUGC